AAGGAAAACAAAUCAUGUUCCAUUCACUUCCUCUGUUGGCUAAAACCGAGAAACAACAAGAAGGAAAAACAGAAAACCUCUCUUACCUUCUCCAACCAUGAACACUAGCCAAGAAACAAGAGAACUCCAGCUCAUUUAACCAAGGAAUCGAGAGAGAGACAAAAGAAAACCAGAAAUCUUGUUCCAGUCUAAACCGUGAAGAGACAAUAGGUAAUUAACUAAGUUGUUCUUCAUUUUCCUUCUAUGCUUGGUUAAUAAUGCCUUAGGAUGAACUAGAA
rnacentral:lncRNA from 1 species